rnacentral:rRNA from 1 species
UGGGGAAUAUUGGACAAUGGGCGAAAGCCUGAUCCAGCCAUGCCGCGUGUGUGAAGAAGGUCUUCGGAUUGUAAAGCACUUUAAGUUGGGAGGAAGGGCAGUAAGCGAAUACCUUGCUGUUUUGACGUUACCGACAGAAUAAGCACCGGCUAACUCUGUGCCAGCAGCCGCGGUAAUACAGAGGGUGCAAGCGUUAAUCGGAAUUACUGGGCGUAAAGCGCGCGUAGGUGGUUCGUUAAGUUGAAUGUGAAAGCCCCGGGCUCAACCUGGGAACUGCAUCCAAAACUGGCGAGCUAGAGUAGGGCAGAGGGUGGUGGAAUUUCCUGUGUAGCGGUGAAAUGCGUAGAUAUAGGAAGGAACGCCAGUAGCGAAGGCGACCACCUGGGCUCAUACUGACACUGAGGUGCGAAAGCGUGAGGAGCAAACAGG